CGGUUAAGCAAAUGCCUUGUGAAAUCGUCCAGCCUAACUGAACGGCGAGCAAGGUAGACUACUUGACUUGGGACCAGGAGAGGCUAGCGGUAUUCCGAGGGGAGCGGUAAAAUGUGAUAAUCCUCGGAGGACCACCAAUGGCGAAGGCAGCUAGCUAGAAUGGAUCCGACGGUGAGGGAUGAAAGCCAGGGGAGCGAUCCGGAUUAGAUACCCGAGUAGUCCUGGCCGUAAACGCUGCAUGCCAGAUGUUGCACAAUCCCUGAGGUUGUGCAGUGUCGAAACGAAGGUGUUAAGCAUGCCACCUGGGAA
rnacentral:rRNA from 1 species